ACCUAGGUAUGGAGCCAUAACCUUUCAGUCUACCUAGGUAUGGAGUCAUAACCUUUCAGUCUACCUAGGUAUGGAGCCAUAACCUUUCAGUCUACCUAGGUAUGGAGUCAUAACCUUUCAUCUACCUAGGUAUGGAGCCAUAACCUUUCAU